rnacentral:lncRNA from 1 species
AUUGGGUUCCUGGCCAGUGCUCUUUCUACCAUCAUGCAUUAUUGCAUGCUGCCCUUUCACUCACGUGGGCACCAGGAGACCUUUUUCUGACCAUACAGAUCUUUGAACAGCUCCAAUGAAAUAAUGCCAGAUGUGAAUGCUUUUUAAUCGAUGGGCUCUGAUCAUCACGAUACCAAAAUUCUGCACAUCUUUUGCAAAGCAAGGCUUGGCUCUCUGAAGCUUUCAUUUCUUCAUUUUCCCAAGAAAGAAUGUUAACCACUCCACUUCCUAGUUCCUCCACACCUGUCACUUGGGAACCAGACGAGAAGUUCUAAGAAGCCCUCAGAUCCUGCAGCCUGACUCUGGCUUGGAAAACCUCUGUCCAGAUCAGAGUGCCAAGGGGAGUGACCCAUCUUGGAUCCUGGACCUCAUCCACUUAGUUGGGAAAUCUUUCUGAUAAAUUCAGAGACCACACAAAGUCCUGAGGGCCUUCCUGUCGAUUUGAAUCCGCUCAAACUCCCAGGAGAUGAAAACAACUUCACUAGAUUGAGGGGACGUAGGAAUCACCUGGGGAUCUUGUUAAAAUGAGGAUUCUGAUUCAGAAGGUCUGGGGAGGGGCCUGAGAUUCUCCCAGGUGAGGCCAGUGCUGCUGGUCCAAGGACCACAUUUGCAGCAUCAAGGGGUUAUAGAACCACCUUCUGUCACUGCUCAUGGAUUUCCUACUCUGCUUUCUGGGGAUCUUGCCUGUUUUCACACCUUAUCCUUCUUUUCCUCUCUCCAUCCAUCCUUUUCUUGGCCAACUCAUUAUUCUGACCAGGCACCCCUACCAACUCCCAACCCUCCUCCAUUCAAGGAGAAAGAAACUCCUGCCCUUUUUUCCUCAGACUUUCAUCCCCUCCCCUCUUCCCUCAGCAGUGCCAGAAAAAUGAAAGUCAUCAUUUAUUGACAGUUGUGUGCCAAGCACUGUCCCAAAUGUGUUACCCAUAAUAUUUAAUUCUCGCAACAAUCCUACAAAGUAUAUAUUAUUAUUGUCAUUUUAGAAAUGAGAAAAUUGAAACUUAGGUAGUUAAAGAAACUCUGUCCUCAACUAGGGAGUAAUGAGUUGAGAUUAGAAUUUGAAUCUGUCUAACGUCAAAGUCUACAGGCUUUACACUACCUUAUGCUCAUGCAAGGUGAAAUAGUCUAGAAGUCAGCUGGUGGGAAUGCAUUGAGAAAAAAGGAUCACUCCAAGGAUCACUCCACUUAUUCAGCCUGUACAGUCCUCUGAACCCCUCUUAAGCAGAUAUUCUAUGGGACAGCCCGACAUAUGGAUAAUAAGAGCUAUUUUAGGAAUGCCCAGGUUAGCUGGAAUGGGACAGGAUUCCAAAUAGCAGAGUAGUAAUAUUAAAACCCAAACUUGCCAAUAUGCCCAAAUUUUCAAUGUAGCUCUUUAAUUAGACCCAUAACUGUACCAAUAGAGCCUAUUACCAAAAAAGAGAUUCCUAUGAUUAGCUAAUCACCCAACCACAUGGAGUCUAAAGGAUGGUGCCAAGUCUGCUAUCAGUCCGCAUAGGGUCCUCUUUGGAUGGGUAGCCAAUUCCCUUCUCUCUCUAGUCUCUCUUCCUUGACUCCACCUCUAACAUCCCCUUGGUCUCUGCCUGUUCUCAAGAUCUGACCUAAGUGUCCUGGCUUCCAACCUGGGAGCCUAUACCUGAUCUUAAAACCUUUGUGUCUUUCAGCUUCCUCAAACUACAGCAUCUACAAGACAAACGAAUCUUGCUUAUGUUGGCUAUCUCCCUCUCCUGACUUUUAUUGGGUGUACAAAAAAAAAAUCUCCCUUUAAUUCCUCCCAAAGAUCCUACAAGGUAUGAGGAGAGGAGAAAAGGCAAGGGGUAGGAAUGAGGAAAAUUCCAUCUUGAUGCAAAAAUUUAAAAGGUCUAUAUUCAUUCAAUGGAGAAGAGUCAGAAUUUUAAAAUAUAACAUAGACAAGGAAAUUAAGAGCAGUGUGCUGUGGGGAAAGGAGCCCUGGCCCAAGAGUCGUGAGAUUUGGGUUCUCAAUCCAUCUUUUCCACUAACUGGCUGUGCAACCUUGGAUAAACUGUAUCAUUUUUCUUGACAUCAGUUUCUCCAUCUUUAAAGUGAGAGGGUUGUAUUGAAUGAUUACUAAGAUUCCUUUGAUCUCUGCUUUUCAGCGUCUUCCCUAGCACCUAAAAUAAAAUGAACCUGGCAGUUUUUGUGAAAUAAUGUUGCAUCUAACCAGAAAUUUAGACACAAACUUGCUUGAGUCAAUGCAUGAAAACAAGAAGAUAAAGAAACAGUGAUUAAUAAUGAUAAAUGAAUAAUAAUGAUAAAAAUAAAAGACCAAAAACUUAAAAAAAGACAAAAAUGGCUGAUUCUAUAG